ensembl:lncRNA
GGGAGAUUUGGCCAAUUCAGUGGUGCCUGGGGAGAUUUUGUCUCAGUUUCACUGAGAGAAAAAAAUCAGAUGGGCUUCUGAGCUAAGAUUCCCUGAGUGGAAAUGGGGGCUGCGGUGGUGGAUAGAAGAGCAGAGGACAUUGAAGAACCCUUUAACCGGGAUUCAGUGCUCUGUGGACACUAGUUCUAUUUGGAAUUGUAAUGAGGGCCUCAUCCGCCAAGCCUGGUCAGAGGUCGAAUGUCCUGCUGCGAUGCACGCCUGGGAUGGCAGAGGCCAAGGCAAGGCCGUGGGAUGCAACUGGAGGUCGAGCCUGCCAGGCGCCGAGAGAAGAGGACAGACUAGAAACUGCACAGGGUGGCCUAAAACGGCAACGUCCUGGGCCCUUUAGGAGUGAGGUCUAUUUUCAGCACUGUCCCCCAUUCUCAGGGGCCUUUGACUUCUGCUCCCCACUCAGCCACACCUCACCGGGAGGAGGACGGGGAGGGACCGGGGCGGGGGUGCAGGGACAGAAGGACAGGCCUCUUCUUCUGCGUUAACCUAAGAUCCCCGUGGAGGGUCCUCACCUGCCCUCUCAGGCUGGCGUUUGGCUACUUGCACUCCCGCCUUCCAACCACCAGUGCUCCUCCGUUCCUCAUUUACCAGAAAACCCGGUCCAGUAAGCCCCAGGCCCAGAGGAAGACCCAACCUGGGGGUGGAUGAAAAAUAUAGUCCCUGCCUCCAACAGAAGGAGGAAAAGAGGUGUGUACGUAGUUGCAGGUGACGUCCUAACACCAUGAUGCUAUGGGGCUUCGCAGGGACUCAGGAUGGAGCGAUGGGCCAGGCACACACAUGCUCGGGGGAGGGAGGAUGCCACCAGCUGGGUCUUGAAUGGCAGAGGGUAAGAUUUAGGGGAGCAGGACGUGUUUGAGGACAGCAAGAGGUAAGGUGCAUCCGACGUUAAAAUAUUUUGCACGUGGACAUAUCUUGGACAUGCUAGUUGUUGAACACCCAGCAGCUACUCCUAUUGCUGUUUUUAUGGGACAGACUUGGAGCCAGGCUGCCAGAGGCCCUGGAGGCCAUAUGGAGACUGGCUCUUUCAAGCCCCUCUCCGUCUUUUUCUUGGAGAAAAGUUAAGGGUCAUUGAAUGUUUUUCCAUGGGUUUCAUAAUUGCACUUAGGGAGUUUCAUGAUUACAUUUGCUUAUUUGGAUCCUUGGGCAGCAAAGCCAAGAAUGGCUUUUCAAGAGCAAGACUGGCAUAAGAAGGCCAGUUGAGAGGCUGUGCCAGUCCUUCAGAAAGGGGCAACAAGGGCUGAGAAGUAGAGGGCCUGGAGAGGAGUGGGCAGAUUUGAGCACGCCUUGGGAAACUGAGUUAAUAAAGCCCCAUAACUGAUUGGAUAGCUGGUAAAAGAGAGAAGAAGUCAAGGACACAGCUCUUCAAAAGCUGGGGGCUCCCGUGAUUUGAGAUGCAGAGGACAAACUGUCUGGUUCCAGGAAAGAGCUUUGCCUGAGGAAGCAGGGGAAACGGGAGCCAGGAACCUCUGCCCCUCUCCCUGUGUGCACGGCCUCUACUGGCUGGAAUGUCGUGUUUACACAUAAGAGCUCUUGACACUCUCCAAACCGCGGGGUUUAGCAAGACCACCCACAGGAGAGCCGAGGAGGCAAGGAGGGAGUCCAGGUUAACAGGAUGCAGAAGCCCCAGGCAGCAGCCUGUUUAUAGUCCAGCCGUGCCCUGGGCUUGAUCUAAGGUGCCGCUUCCAUUUGCCCUGUGGCCCAGCUGCAUGCUGAUGUCAUCUCCGAGUCCCCACCGACCUUUCCUCCCAGACCAGGCGGGGGGUGGGGGUGUCGACCCUCAUCCGCAAGAGUGACAGUGAUUUUGUACAGCAAACGCUGGCCGGACCAGAGCCACCCAAACUGCACUCCCAAGUGGACCUGCAGAGGCUACUGCUGGAGGAUGGAGGUCCUCUCACUGUCAUCUUCAAAUUGCUGUCCAUCUGAGCGAGCAAGGCUGACCGCCUGGACAGCA